ensembl:lncRNA
CAAUAAGAAGCCUAAUAAUAUGUGUGCAUCUGUCUUGGCUGGAAUGCUGGCUAGGCCUGAUUCGUGCAUGCUCCCAUGGGCCAUGUGAAAUCUUCCAGGAAGAGAGGAGAAGCGAAGCCAUAUGCUGUCUGGGUAACACUUGGAUUUCACAUAUUCUGUUCGAAGUGUGGUAACUGAGGACUUUUCCUCCCAUAACUUUAAUCCUUUUCUCAGCUAUGGCAGGGGUCCUGACUGCAAUGGGUCUUGUGGCUUCCAGGACCUGGCACUGGGCCACUUAGGCAAUUGCUCUGUUGUCUCUCUGCCCAUGGACAAAAAGCCACAAAACUGAUGAUGGACAGCAAGAGUUUUGGAGAAGGAAUGGAGAGGAGAGUUCUGCAAGAGCCACGUACCUGGAGACCUAGCCCAGGGUGGACCAACAGUCACCCUAUAUUUCCACAUGAGUGUCCUAAGAGAUCAAUCCCAAGGCCCUGAAUAUUCUAGGCAAGUGGUCUGCUGCUGAACUAUACUCCCAGUUCAAGUUCAUGGUUACUAAGAGGCUGUUCUUGAUGUCUGAACUUACGGCCACUCAUGCUUCCUGGAACAAUGAUAAAUUAACAAGGACUUCUGGUUCCCUCUUCCCAGUACAACCCUGAAAAACUCAUGAAGGAAUACCAGAGAAGUGACAUAACGUGUUUUACAGUGCAUCCCAUCAGAAGGUACAUGAUGUCAGCUUGACCCAGUAUUGCUGAUCCCAGCUUUGAUCACUUGGUUAAGAAUUCACCAACCAGGCACCCUGGGGAAGCUGUGCAUGCAAGGAGGAACUUAAUGUGAGAAGCAGAC